CUUGAAAUAGGAUCCAGAGCCUUUGAUGAAACCACAGUCUCAGUUGACAUCUCAAUUGCAGCCUGUGGAACCCUAAGCAGAGGAUACAGCUAAACCAUGUUCACACCACCUGACACAUGAAAAUGGACAUGGAUGAAUCUGGAAAACAUCAUCCUCAGCAAGCUGACACAAGAACAGAAAGUGAAACACCGCAUAUUCUCACUCAUAGGACAAUGGAUCACUCAACUGGGCAAGCCACCCACUUAUCAAACAACUGUUUGUUUGUCAACGUUCAAAUUUUGCCUCCUUGUAUCCACCAAUCCUUUGGUCACCAAUCUGAUAAAUCUCAACUAAAGCUCCACAAGGAAGGACCCACCAUAAAUCACUGGACCCCAGACACCAACACCUUCCAGUUAUCUGCCCCAAAUAUCGCUUUCUGAGCUACUACAAAGACUCUGUCAAGCUGGUACCCUUCUCUACGCAGUAGGAAAUAAGUUCAACUUUGCCUGAUCAAUAGGUAAUUCUGGUGCACUUAGGGAUGUUGUCCAACGUAUCACUUUUAUGUUUUGAUAAUUCUAAAGCAUUUACAAAGUGCUUACAUUUUUACAUUGUUUUUAAAUCCUACAUUUGUUAAUCCUGCUAACGAUACAUUCAUAUUUACAUUUUAGAAGCA
rnacentral:lncRNA from 13 species